GUUGUCCUCUUAAUCAAGGAGUGUGGAGAUACUGUUAUGGCAUACAGAUAAAAUGUAGGAGUACAUUCAUAUCAAACAUGAUCAUGGGCUGAUCAUUCUGCUGUCAAUAGUAGCUCGUAAAGGAUAUAGGUAUAAGUAUCUUUCCAACCUGAAACCACCACGGUGACUUAUAAGCAACUCACUAUACUUUAGUAUCGGACUAUCUGAGUUUCUAACUCAGUGACCGAAGGUUACUGGGUGUUGUCAAGUACUUAUCA
rnacentral:lncRNA from 1 species